rnacentral:rRNA from 1 species
GCUGAUGCGUUGUUGGGUAGGGGAGCGUUCUGUAAGCCUGUGAAGGUGGCCUGUGAGGGUUGCUGGAGGUAUCAGAAGUGCGAAUGCUGACAUAAGUAACGAUAAAGCGGGUGAAAAGCCCGCUCGCCGGAAGACCAAGGGUUCCUGUCCAACGUUAAUCGGGGCAGGGUGAGUCGACCCCUAAGGCGAGGCCGAAAGGCGUAGUCGAUGGGAAACGGGUUAAUAUUCCCGUACUUGGUGUUACUGCGAAGGGGGGACGGAGAAGGCUAUGUUGGCCGGGCGACGGUUGUCCCGGUUUAAGCGUGUAGGUGUGUGUUCCAGGUAAAUCCGGUUCACUUUAACACUGAGGCGUGAUGACGAGGCACUACGGUGCUGAAGCAACAAAUGCCCUGCUUCCAGGAAAAGCCUCUAAGCAUCAGGUAACAUCAAAUCGUACCCCAAACCGACACAGGUGGUCAGGUAGAGAAUACCAAGGCGCUUGAGAGAACUCGGGUGAAGGAACUAGGCAAAAUGGUGCCGUAACUUCGGGAGAAGGCACGCUGACACGUAGGUGAAGUGAUUUACUCACGGAGCUGAAGUCAGUCGAAGAUACCAGCUGGCUGCAACUGUUUAUUAAAAACACAGCACUGUGCAAACACGAAAGUGGACGUAUACGGUGUGACGCCUGCCCGGUGCCGGAAGGUUAAUUGAUGGGGUCAGCGCAAGCGAAGCUCCUGAUCGAAGCCCCGGUAAACGGCGGCCGUAACUAUAACGGUCCUAAGGUAGCGAAAUUCCUUGUCGGGUAAGUUCCGACCUGCACGAAUGGCGUAAUGAUGGCCAGGCUGUCUCCACCCGAGACUCAGUGAAAUUGAACUCGCUGUGAAGAUGCAGUGUACCCGCGGCAAGACGGAAAGACCCCGUGAACCUUUACUAUAGCUUGACACUGAACAUUGAGCCUUGAUGUGUAGGAUAGGUGGGAGGCUUUGAAGUGUGGACGCCAGUCUGCAUGGAGCCGACCUUGAAAUACCACCCUUUAAUGUUUGAUGUUCUAACGUGGACCCGUGAUCCGGGUUGCGGACAGUGUCUGGUGGGUAGUUUGACUGGGGCGGUCUCCUCCUAAAGAGUAACGGAGGAGCACGAAGGUUGGCUAAUCCUGGUCGGACAUCAGGAGGUUAGUGCAAUGGCAUAAGCCAGCUUGACUGCGAGCGUGACGGCGCGAGCAGGUGCGAAAGCAGGUCAUAGUGAUCCGGUGGUUCUGAAUGGAAGGGCCAUCGCUCAACGGAUAAAAGGUACUCCGGGGAUAACAGGCUGAUACCGCCCAAGAGUUCAUAUCGACGGCGGUGUUUGGCACCUCGAUGUCGGCUCAUCACAUCCUGGGGCUGAAGUAGGUCCCAAGGGUAUGGCUGUUCGCCAUUUAAAGUGGUACGCGAGCUGGGUUUAGAACGUCGUGAGACAGUUCGGUCCCUAUCUGCCGUGGGCGCUGGAGAACUGAGGGGGGCUGCUCCUAGUACGAGAGGACCGGAGUGGACGCAUCACUGGUGUUCGGGUUGUCAUGCCAAUGGCACUGCCCGGUAGCUAAAUGCGGAAGAGAUAAGUGCUGAAAGCAUCUAAGCACGAAACUUGCCCCGAGAUGAGUUCUCCCUGAGACUUAGAGUCUCCUGAAGGAACGUUGAAGACGACGACGUUGAUAGGCCGGGUGUGUAAGCGCAGCGAUGCGUUGAGCUAACCGGUACUAAUGAACCGUGAGGCUUAACCUUACA